rnacentral:rRNA from 1 species
AGUAAAGUCCGCCUCGCGCGGACCGAGGGAGGACGAGCGGUUUACCCUUAAAAGUGGCCGCUCCGCACUCCCGGGGCGUCUCAUUCUCAUCGCGAGAAGAGGCGCACCAAGAGCGUACACGCUGGGACCCGAAAGAUGGUGAACUAUGCCUGGUCAGGACGAAGUCAGGGGAAACCCUGAUGGAGGUCCGUAGCGANUCUGACGUGCAAAUCGAUCGUCGGAAC